AUGAGAACACACAUGGGGGGGAAAAGCUGCAUCACUGCAGCACAGAGGGUCCAGAGAUUAAAGAGUAACAGGAGGAACUAAAAGGAGUUUGACACUCCUGACUUCAGGGUUACACUCUGUAAUAAGUGUUGGAUCAUACACUAUUUCUACACACUACCUCAGCAAUGAGCUCACUGAGGUUAUUUCUUCGUUAGAGGAAGAUUGUCCGUCUGUUUUGGGUUAUUGGAUUGCAAUGGGAUAGUGCUUGAUCACCUGAACGUGCAGGUGUAAAUACAGCUGUGAUGGAGGACAUGGCUGGUGGGAUGCUGGGCUUCAGAAGCUCGUGUGUAAUGCAUACUGGUACAUGCAGGCAGUCCCUGCACGGCUCCGCGAGCAGGAGAACUCAGCUUUAGGAUUCAGGGGGAUCUAUUGGCAGAAAUGGAAUAUAGUAUUCAUAACUGUUUUCUUUUGUCUAUAAUCACCUGAAACUAAGAAUCGUUGUGUGUUCAUUAUGUUGUUCAUGUUACGUGUCUGUUACCCGCCUGCUUUGCCCUGCUCUGCUUGCUCGUGUCCUGCUCGUGUCUACCCAGUUUGUCUGUUCACUAUUAUUUUGUUACUUUGUAUGAAUGUUUCAGCUUUGUUUUAUUAAAGCUCGCUUUUUGUUGUAAA